AUGAUCUCCAAUUGGAGGCAGCUGGUUCGCGUUGUCUCUAAUUGGAGAUCAUAUUUAAGUUGGGGUUUUUUCUAUUGUGUUUUGUGGGUAGUUGUUUUCCGUUUUGUUGUCUGUUGCCUGACAGAACUGUUUGCUGUCGUUUUUGUUUNNNNNNNNNNNNNNNNNNNNNNNNNNNNNNNNNNNNNNNNNNNNNNNNNNNNNNNNNNNNNNNNNNNNNNNNNNNNNNNNNNNNNNNNNNNNNNNNNNNNUCUGUCUGCCUCUCCUCCCCGUGGUCUGUCUGUCUGCCUCUACUCCCCGUGGUCUGUCUGUCUGUCUGCCUCUACUCCCCGUGGUCUGUCUGUCUGUCUGCCUCUACUCCCCGUGGUCUGUCUGUCUGUCUGCCUCUACUCCCCGUGGUCUAUCUGUCUGUCUGCCUCUAUUCCCCGAGGUCUGUCUGUCUGUCUGCCUCUACUCCCCGUGGUCUAUCUGUCUGUCUGCCUCUACUCCCCGUGGUCUGUCUGUCUGUCUGCCUCUACUCCCCGUGGUCUGUCUGUCUGUCUGCCUCUACUCCCCGUGGUCUGUCUGUCUGUCUGCCUCUACUCCCCGUGGUCUGUCUGUCUGUCCCUACUCCCAGUGGUCUAUCUGUCUGUCUGCCUCUACUCCCCGUGGUCUGUCUGUCUGUCUGUCUGCCACUACUCCCCGUGGUCUAUCUGUCUCUCUGCCUCUACUCCCCAUGGUCUAUCUGUCUGUCUGUCUCUACUCCCCGUGGUCUAUGUGUCUGUCUGCCUCUACUCCCCGUGGUCUAUCUGUCUGUCUGUCUCUACUCCCCGUGGUCUAUCUGUCUGUCUGCCUCUACUCCCCGUGGUCUGUCUGUCUGUCUCUACUCCCCGUGGUCUAUCUGUCUGUCUGCCUCUACUCCCCGUGGUCUGUCUGUCUGUCUGCCUCUACUCCCCGUGGUCUGUCUGUCUGUCUGCCUCUACUCCCCGUGGUCUGUCUGUCUGUCUGCCUCUACUCCCCGUGGUCUGUCUGUCUGUCUGCCUCUACUCCCAGUGGUCUAUCUGUCUGUCUGCCUCUACUCCCCGUGGUCUAUCUGUCUCUCUGCCUCUACUCCCCGUGCUCUAUCUGUCUGUCUGCCUCUACUCCCCGUGGUCUAUCUGUCUGUCUGCCUCUACUCCCUGUGGUCUAUGUGUCUGUCUGCCUCUACUCCCCGUGGUCUAUCUGUCUGUCUGCCUCUACUCCCCGUGGUCUGUCUGUCUGUCUGCCUCUACUCCCCGUGGUCUGUCUGUCUGUCUGUCUGCCACUACUCCCCGUGGUCUAUCUGUCUCUCUGCCUCUACUCCCCGUGCUCUAUCUGUCUGUCUGCCUCUACUCCCCGUGGUCUAUGUGUCUGUCUGCCUCUACUCCCCGUGAUCUGUCUGUCUGUCUCUACUCCCCGUGGUCUAUCUGUCUGUCUGCCUCUACUCCCUGUGGUCUGUCUGUCUGCCUCUACUCCCCGUGGUCUGUCUGUCUGUCUGCCUCUACUCCCCGUGGUCUGUCUGUCUGUCUGUCUGCCUCUACACCCCGUGGUCUGUCUGUCUGCCUCUACUCCCCGUGGUCUAUCUGUCUGUCUGUCUCUACUCCCCGUGGUCUGUCUGUCUGUCUGCCUCUACUCCCCGUGGUCAAUCUGUCUGUCUAUCUGUCUCUACUCCCCUUGGUCUGUCUGUCUGCCUCUACUCCCCAUGGUCUGUCUGUCUGUCUGCCUCUACUCCCCGUGGUCUGUCUGUCUGUCUGCCUCUACUCCCCGUGGUCUGUCUGUCUGUCUGCCUCUACUCCCCUUGGUCUAUCUGUCUGUCUGCCUUUAUUCCCCGAGGUCUGUCUGUCUGUCUGCCUCUACUCCCCGUGGUCUAUCUGUCUGUCUGCCUGCCUCUACACCCCGUGGUCUGUCUGUCUGCCUCUACUCCCCGUGGUCUAUCUGUCUGUCUGUCUCUACUCCCCGUGGUCUGUCUGUCUGUCUGCCUCUACUCCCCGUGGUCUGUCUGUCUGUCUCUACUCCCAGUGGUCUAUCUGUCUGUCUGCCUCUACUCCCCGUGGUCUAUCUGUCUGUCUGUCUGCCACUACUCCCCGUGGUCUAUCUGUCUGUCUGUCUCUACUCCCUGUGGUCUAUCUGUCUGUCUGCCUCUACUCCCCGUGGUCUGUCUGUCUGUCUGCCUCUACUCCCCGUGGUCUGUCUGUCUGUCUGUCUGCCUCUACUCCCCGUGGUCUGUCUGUCUGUCUGCCUUACUCCCCGUGGUCUGUCUGUCUGUCUGUCUGCCUCUACUCCCCGUGGUCUGUCUGUCUGUCUGCCUCUACUCCCCGUGGUCUGUCUGUCUGUCUGUCUGUCUGCCUCUACUCCCCGUGGUCUGUCUCUACUCCCCGUGGUCUAUCUGUCUGUCUGUACUCAUUGUGGUCUGUCUGUCUGUCUGUCUCUACUCCCCGUGGUCUAUCUGUCUGUCUGCCUCUACUCCCCGUGGUCUAUCUGUCUGUCUGUCUCUACUCCUUGUGGUCUGUCUGUCUGCCUCUACUCCCCGUGGUCUGUCUGUCUGUCUCUACUCCCCGUGGUCUAUCUGUCUGUCUGCCUCUACUCCCCGUUGUCUGUCUGUCUGUCUCUACUCCCCGUGGUCUGUCUGUCUGUCUCUACUCCCCGUGGUCUAUUUGUCUGUCUGUCUCUACUCCCCGUGGUCUGUCUGUCUGUCUCUACUCCCCGUGGUCUAUCUGUCUGUCUGCCUCUACUCCCCGUGGUCUGUCUGUCUGUCUGCCUCUACUCCCCGUGGUCUGUCUGUCUGUCUCUACUCCCCGUGGUCUAUUUGUCUGUCUGCCUCUACUCCCCGUGGUCUGUCUGUCUGUCUCUACUCCCCGUGGUCUGUCUGUCUGUCUGCCUCUACUCCCCGUGGUCUGUCUGUCUGUCUCUACUCCCCGUGGUCUAUCUGUCUGUCUGCCUCUACUCCCCGUGGUCUAUCUGUCUCUCUGCCUCUACUCCCCGUGGUCUAUCUGUCUGUCUGCCUCUACUCCCCGUGGUCUAUCUGUCUGUCUGCCUCUACUCCCCGUGGUCUAUCUGUCUGUCUGCCUCUACUCCCCGUGGUCUAUAUGUCUGUCUGUCUCUACUCCCCGUGGUCUGUCUGUCUGUCUGCCUCUACUCCCCGUGGUCUAUCUGUCUCUCUGCCUCUACUCCCCGUGGUCUGUCUGUCUGCCUCUACUCCCCGUGGUCUAUGUGUCUGUCUGCCUCUACUCCCCGUGGUCUAUCUGUCUGUCUGUCUCUACUCCCCGUGGUCUAUCUGUCUGUCUGCCUCUACUCCCCGUGGUCUGUCUGUCUGCCUCUACUCCCCGUGGUCUAUGUGUCUGUCUGCCUCUACUCCCCGUGGUCUAUCUGUCUGUCUGUCUGCCUCUACUCCCCGUGGUCUAUCUGUCUGUCUGUCUCUACUCCCCGUGGUCUAUCUGUCUGUCUCUACUCCCCGUGGUCUGUCUGUCUGUCUGUCUGCCUCUACUCCCCGUGGUCUAUCUGUCUGUCUGUCUCUACUCCCCGUGGUCUAUCUGUCUGUCUCUACUCCCCGUGGUCUGUCUGUCUGUCUCUACUCCCCGUGGUCUAUCUGUCUGUCUCUACUCCCCGUGGUCUAUCUGUCUGUCUCUACUCCCCGUGGUCUGUCUGUCUGUCUCUACUCCCCGUGGUCUAUCUGUCUGUCUGCCUCUACUCCCCGUGGUCUAUCUGUCUGUCUGCCUCUACUCCCCGUGGUCUAUCUGUCUGUCUGUCUGCCUCUACUCCCCGUGGUCUAUCUGUCUGUCUCCACUCCCCGUGGUCUGUCUGUCUGUCUCUACUCCCCGUGGUCUAUCUGUCUGUCUGUCUCUACUCCCCGUGGUCUAUCUGUCUGUCUGCCUCUACUCCCCGUGGUCUAUCUGUCUGUCUGCCUCUACUCCCCGUGGUCUGUCUGUCUGUCUGCCUCUACUCCCCGUGGUCUGUCUGUCUGUCUGCCUCUACUCCCCGUGGUCUAUCUGUCUCUCUGCCUCUACUCCCCGUGGUCUAUCUGUCUGUCUGUCUCUACUCCUUGUGGUCUGUCUGUCUGUCUGUCUCUACUCCCCGUGGUCUAUCUGUCUGUCUGCCUCUACUCCUUGUGGUCUGUCUGUCUGUCUGUCUCUACUCCCCGUGGUCUAUCUGUCUGUCUGCCUCUACUCCCCGUGGUCUAUAUGUCUGUCUGUCUCUACUCCUUGUGGUCUGUCUGUCAGUCUGCCUCUACUCCCCGUGGUCUAUCUGUCUGUCUGUCUGCCUCUAAUCUCUGUGGUCUGUUUGUCUCCAUGUCACUGA
rnacentral:lncRNA from 8 species